AUGGGUGUUGGCUCCAACAAUUCGCAUUGGUCUCAAACCAAUGGCAUGCAUUUUGAAGACCAUGAGUUCGAGGUGGACGAGGAGGGUGAGGGCAUUGUCGACGCACCGAAAGGAAGAGCGGACAAUUACACCAACGCCGAUGACAUCUUACUAUGCAAUACUUGGUUGCAAGUGUCGAGGGAUCCAUCCGUUGGAGGUGAUCAAAGUAGAGAUGCUUAUUGGAACCGGAUGAAGGAACACUUUGAUGCUCGCAACGUGAGUGGAAUUGACCGCUCCAACCGAUCACUUAGGUCCCGGUAG
rnacentral:rRNA from 1 species